UACGGAGGGGGCAAGCGUUAUUCGGAAUCAUUGGGCGUAAAGGGCGCGUAGGCGGCUUGGCAAGUCAAAGGUGAAAUCCCUCGGCCCAACCGAGGAACUGCCUUUGAUACUGCCUAGCUCGAGGCCGGGAGAGGGUAGCGGAAUUCCCAGUGUAGCGGUGAAAUGCGUAGAUAUUGGGAGGAACACCAGUGGCGAAGGCGGCUACCUGGACCGGUUCUGACGCUGAUGCGCGAAAGCGUGGGGAGCAAACAGG
rnacentral:rRNA from 1 species